rnacentral:rRNA from 1 species
UACAGGGGGUGCAAACGUUGCUCGGAAUCAUUGGGCGUAAAGCGCACGUAGGCGGUUCGUUAUGUCGGAUGUGAAAGCCCUUGGCUUAACCGAGGAAGUGCAUCCGAAACUGGCGAGCUAGAGUACGAAAGAGGAUCGCGGAAUUCCCGGUGUAGAGGUGAAAUUCGUAGAUAUCAGGAGGAACACCGGUGCGAAGGCGGCCAUCUGGACGACAACUGACGCUGAGGCGCGAACAGCGUGGGGAGCAAACAGG